rnacentral:lncRNA from 1 species
UCCAUUACCUUUCCAUUACCUUGUUCAGAUCGUGACACGUGGAUAAAAACUAGUCAAUGGUCCUGAUUAAAAUCAGUUUAGUUUUUAUUUUUGUAACUAAACCAGAUGAACAAUAUUUUACCUUCUUCUCUCACGGAUGAACAGUAACCCGGUGGGGUUUGAUUGCCGCUGCAGCUACGGCGGCCUCUGCCCAACUUGCUUUCCUCGGUUUCGAGUCUCCUCCUCUCUCUGUUUUGAGCUAACCGUGUUUUGUUCCAGUCUCCUCCUUUCUCUAGGGCGUGAACAGUAACAAAUUAAGCUUUUGAUAAACAGUGGUAGCUCCGACGGCUUCCUUUACUCCGUUCACCAUCAGAAUUGAAACAAAUGAACCCGUCAUCAUUUACCAAAACAAAAAUAAAUAUUUUGUGCAGUAGUGGUUGGUGGCUUCCUCAUAUACUAGGAAUUAGUAGUUGAAAUCACAACAGAGGGGUUUCAUU